rnacentral:rRNA from 1 species
UACGAAGGGGGCUAGCGUUGCUCGGAAUCACUGGGCGUAAAGCGCACGUAGGCGGCUUUCUAAGUCAGGGGUGAAAUCCUGGAGCUCAACUCCAGAACUGCCUUUGAUACUGGAGAGCUUGAGUCCGGAAGAGGUGAGUGGAACUCCGAGUGUAGAGGUGAAAUUCGUAGAUAUUCGGAAGAACACCAGUGGCGAAGGCGGCUCACUGGACGACUGCUGACGCUGAGGUGCGAAAGCGUGGGGAGCAAGCAGG